UGGUGUGACUUGCCCAGGCCACCCCAUGAGUAGGCGGCAGAGACAUCAGGAGAUCCUGGACCUCUGUUUCCCAUUCCAGCAGAGGAACGAGUGGAUCCUGCAGGGAAGAGGCCAGUCUCUACUAGAAAGAAUUUGAUCUGUGGGGCCCACAUCCUGCGAGUGACCGCACAGCAAGUCCCAGAACCACCAGAGUGCCAGAGCCAUAGGGGAAUUUCUGCUUACCUGGACUUACUUCUAUCUCAAGGCCUGAGAAAAUAUAUAGCCAAGUACUGACUUGAAAGAGAGGACUUGGCCUUACUUGGACAUCUUCCCAACCUCUGGAACACCUCCGGUUGUGACAAAGAAAUGCUCAUGACAGUAUCUCCAUGCUAAGCAAUCACGAGGUGACACCCAAGAAGAGCCCUUUGUCUAGUGCUAGAAAGGGAUGCUCAGCCCCCGUUGCUACUUCUGAAGUUAACAGUCCGCCCUGGAAAGCUUCAGACCUGACCCUCCAGGUAACCCACAGCUGCUGCAGCAGCUCCACUGCCUACCUCACUGGCUUCCACCAAACAUGGCCAUCCAUGCCAUGGCAACCUGCAGACAGUCAGGGCCGAUUUCUGGGACCUUCCCUUCUGGAAGUUUUUCAGUGUGAGGCAAAGCAGCCUGAGUGUGCCUAGGAGAUUUUCUCAGCAGAAAGGCCUGCAUCUGAGCAAAAGCUAUCCAGACUGCAGCAACCAUCCAAUUCUAGUUUCUUUUCACAGUCUGCUGAUGGAUGACUUUUUUUACCUGUACACUGAGCUCCUCGGCCUCCCCACCUUGCUUCCUUCCUGCUUCUCCUUCACCCUUUGCUUUUGUACUCCCUUUUUGGUUUUCGUCUCUCUUGGCUAGCUAAUUUUUCCUCAGACAGUUUUUGAAUAUAAAGGGAAAGGAAAAUAGUUGGUACUAACACAA